UGGUGCUUGCAUCAUGAUUUACAUUUGAGUGAGUGGCGAACUGGUGAGUAACACGUGGGAAACCUGCCCAGAAGCGGGGGAUAACACCUGGAAACAGAUGCUAAUACCGCAUAACAACUUGGACCGCAUGGUCCGAGUUUGAAAGAUGGCUUCAGCUAUCACUUUUGGAUGGUCCCGCGGCGUAUUAGCUAGAUGGUGGGGUAACGGCUCACCAUGGCAAUGAUACGUAGCCGACCUGAGAGGGUAAUCGGCCACAUUGGGACUGAGACACGGCCCAAACUCCUACGGGAGGCAGCAGUAGGGAAUCUUCCACAAUGGACGAAAGUCUGAUGGAGCAACGCCGCGUGAGUGAAGAAGGGUUUCGGCUCGUAAAACUCUGUUGUUAAAGAAGAAYAUAUCUGAGAGUAACUGUUCAGGUAUUGACGGUAUUUAACCAGAAAGCCACGGCUAACUACGUGCCAGCAGCCGCGGUAAUACGUAGGUGGCAAGCGUUGUCCGGAUUUAUUGGGCGUAAAGCGAGCGCAGGCGGUUUUUUAAGUCUGAUGUGAAAGCCUUCGGCUCAACCGAAGAAGUGCAUCGGAAACUGGGAAACUUGAGUGCAGAAGAGGACAGUGGAACUCCAUGUGUAGCGGUGAA
rnacentral:rRNA from 2 species